UGGGCUAGAAAAUGCAGGAACCUGGAAGAAAUUUCGGGGUGCUCUUCGGAGAACCUGUGAUCCUGCCCGUGAGGGAAACCGUGUUUCCACGGCGGUCAGGAACAUGUCAAACCCAGGUAAGGUUCUUCGCGUUGCGUCGAAUUAAACCACAUGCUCCGCUGCUUGUGCGGGUCCCCGUCAAUUCCUUUGAGUUUUAGCCUUGCGGCCGUACUCCCCAGGCGGGGCACUUAAUGCGUUAGCUCCGGCACGGGAGGAGUCGACACCUCCCACACCUAGUGCCCAUCGUUUACGGCGUGGACUAC
rnacentral:misc_RNA from 1 species